CCUACGGGAGGCAGCAGUGAGGAAUUUUCGGCAAUGGGGGCAACCCUGACCGAGCAACGCCGCGUGCAGGAAGAAGGUCUUCGGAUCGUAAACUGCUUUUCUCUGGGAAGAGCGAGGACGGUACCAGAGGAAGAAGCCCCGGCUAACUACGUGCCAGCAGCCGCGGUAAUACGUAGGGGGCGAGCGUUGUCCGGAGUUACUGGGCGUAAAGGGCACGCAGGCGGUCGCGUAAGUUUGGGGUUACAGCUCCCGGCUCAACUGGGAGAGCGCCUCGAAGACUGCACGACUUGAGAGCCAGAGAGGGACACAGAAUUCCGGGUGUAGUGGUGAAAUGCGUAGAUAUCCGGAGGAAUACCAAAGGCGAAGGCAGUGUCCUGGAGGGUUUCUGACGCUGAGGUGCGAAAGCUAGGGGAGCGAACGGGAUUAGAUACCCCGGUAGUC
rnacentral:rRNA from 1 species